AGAGUUUGAUCCUGGCUCAGGAUGAACGCUGGCGGCGUGCCUAAUACAUGCAAGUCGAGCGAAUGGAUUGAGAGCUUGCUCUUAUGAAGUUAGCGGCGGACGGGUGAGUAACACGUGGGUAACCUGCCCAUAAGACUGGGAUAACUCCGGGAAACCGGGGCUAAUACCGGAUAACAUUUUGAACCGCAUGGUUCGAAAUUGAAAGGCGGCUUCGGCUGUCACUUAUGGAUGGACCCGCGUCGCAUUAGCUAGUUGGUGAGGUAACGGCUCACCAAGGCAACGAUGCGUAGCCGACCUGAGAGGGUGAUCGGCCACACUGGGACUGAGACACGGCCCAGACUCCUACGGGAGGCAGCAGUAGGGAAUCUUCCGCAAUGGACGAAAGUCUGACGGAGCAACGCCGCGUGAGUGAUGAAGGCUUUCGGGUCGUAAAACUCUGUUGUUAGGGAAGAACAAGUGCUAGUUGAAUAAGCUGGCACCUUGACGGUACCUAACCAGAAAGCCACGGCUAACUACGUGCCAGCAGCCGCGGUAAUACGUAGGUGGCAAGCGUUAUCCGGAAUUAUUGGGCGUAAAGCGCGCGCAGGUGGUUUCUUAAGUCUGAUGUGAAAGCCCACGGCUCAACCGUGGAGGGUCAUUGGAAACUGGGAGACUUGAGUGCAGAAGAGGAAAGUGGAAUUCCAUGUGUAGCGGUGAAAUGCGUAGAGAUAUGGAGGAACACCAGUGGCGAAGGCGACUUUCUGGUC
rnacentral:rRNA from 1 species